UACGUAGGCAGCAAGCGUUGUUCGGAGUUACUGGGUGUAAAGGGUGUGUAGGCGGUUAUUUAAGUUUGGUGUGAAAUCUCCCGGCUCAACCGGGAGGGUGCGCCGAAUACUGAAUGACUUGGAGUGCGGGAGAGGAAAGUGGAAUUCCUGGUGUAGCGGUGGAAUGCGCAGAUAUCAGGAGGAACACCAACGGCGAAGGCAGCUCUCUGGUACGUGACUGACGCUGAGACGCGAAAGCGUGGGGAGCAAACAGG
rnacentral:rRNA from 1 species